UGCCAGCAGCCGCGGUAAUACGGAGGGUGCAAGCGUUAUCCGGAUUCAUUGGGUUUAAAGGGUGCGCAGGCGGUUUAUUAAGUCAGUGGUGAAAUCUCUCGGCUCAACCGAGAAACUGCCAUUGAUACUGAUAGGCUUGAAUAUAGUUGGAGUAGGCGGAAUGUGUAGUGUAGCGGUGAAAUGCUUAGAUAUUACACAGAACACCGAUAGCGAAGGCAGCUUACUAAGCCAUUACUGACGCUGAGGCACGAAAGCGUGGGGAGCGAGCAGGAUUAGAUA
rnacentral:rRNA from 1 species